GUGCAGCAGGCGCGAAACCUCCGCAAUACACGAAAGUGUGACGGGGCCAUCCCGAGUGCCGUCCGCUGAGGACGGCUUUUCCCCAGUGUACAUAGCUGGGGGAAUAAGGAGAGGGCAAGCCUGGUGUCGGCCGCCGCGGUAAUACCAGCUCUCCGAGUGGUGGGGACGCUUAUUGGGCCUAAAGCAUCCGUAGCCGGCUGGGCAAGUCCUCCGUUAAAAUCCAACGAUUCAAUCGUUGGGCUGCGGGGGAUACUGGUCCAGCUUGGGGGCGGGAGAGGCCGACGGUAUUCCCGGGGUAGGGUGAAAUCCUAUAAUCCCGGGAGGACCACC
rnacentral:rRNA from 1 species